rnacentral:rRNA from 1 species
AUUGAACGCUGGCGGCAGGCCUAACACAUGCAAGUCGAGCGGAGCGGCGGACGGGUGAGUAAUGCCUAGGUAUCUGCCUGGUCGUGGUGGAUAACGUCCGGAAACGGGCGCUAAUACCGCAUACUCUCAGAUGAGGCUAGGUCGGUUUCGCUAGUUGGUGGGGUAAAGGCCUAACAAGGCGACGAUCCGUAACUGGUCUGAGAGGAUGAUCAGUCAAACUGGAACUGAGAAACGGUCCAGACUCCUACGGGAGGCAGCAGGGGGGAAUAUUGGACAAUGGGCGAAAGUCUGAACCAGGCAUGCCGCGGGGGUGAAGAAGGUCUGCGGAUUGUAAAGCACUUUAAGUUGGGAGGCGGUACCAACAGAAUAAGCACCGGCUAACUUCGUGCCAGCAGCCGCGGUAAUUC